CCAGCUUGGUCGCCGCGCUGCCCAGCCUGGUCCUCGCCGCAAACAACACUCCAGGCAGGUACUCCUCGCCCGUACACUGAAAUUUACAGCAGAAUUUGAGGAAUCAGUUAAACAGCGCGACAACAGCAGUAAUUUACAGCAGAAUUUGAGGAAUCACUAGAAUUUGAAAGCAAACAAAUAAAAGUAGCAAGUGCACUGAAAUUCAGGAGUUAACAGGUCCAGUGUGCAGGCUGCAGCCCACAUUUUCCAUCAGGCAUCCAAAUUUGCCUAAACCCAUGUUCCUUGUCAAAUUCAGUCUAAACCCAUGUUCGAUGUUAGAGAACCAAAUGCUUCUGCAUUUGGCACUGCCAAUUAAUCCCUCUGUUCCAUUUGAACUAAAACCACGAUAAAAAUUAUGGAACGGAGUACUUGUAGUUCCAUCACUUAAUUGACAUGGGACCAGCAUGGAGUAACAAGCAAGGCAAAAAUGGUGCCAGUACAUGAUGAUGUUACAUCACUUAAUGGAGUACUUGUAGUUCCAUCACUUAAUUGACAUGAGUAGAUAAGCAUCAUUUUGACAUUACUACAGGGGCUACAACUUCAAAGGGAAGUACCAAAUGACUACACUCGAUCUGUAUAUCAUUGUAAAAUGCACUGAUGAGUACCGGAGUAAUAUGCACUAAACAGUAUUUAUACAAAGCAUGUCAUUGUUCAGAAGAACAGUGGAUCAUUUAGUUGUACCGAAAAGAUUAAUUCAGUUUUAACUAAACAUUAUUUAUACUGGAACAAGCAUUGUGAGUGCUUUCAGUACACAGCAAAAUGAACUUCUCCAUCAGUACACAGCAAAAUGAACUUCUCCAUACAUGAUAUAAAUGGUCAGUAGAUUAAAUGGUCAAUACACUGGAACAAGCAUUUUGACAAGAGUAAAUGGUCAGUAACAAGCAUUUUGACAAAGUAACAAGCAUAUUGACAAAAUUUCACCACUGUGAACAGGAACGAGUUGACAAAGUAACUUGACAUUAACUUGAUUUACUGCCCCCCCGCGCGCAAAAAAGAAAACUUGAUUUACUGUUAACUUAAAUGAACGCUUAUUGUCAAAAUGCUCAGUUAACUUGACAUUAACUUGCUUUUCAUUUUUAACUUGCUUUGAAUAUGGUCAGUUAGGUGCAACAUGUUCAGUGUAGUCCUAAGCAACACUUGCUGACUACUCUUAACUCAACAGUACUGAACUAAACAUGACUACUCUAACUUAACAGUACUGAGCACUACUCACUUGCUGUAGUCCAACUUAUUGCAAGCAAAAUAGGCCUACUCCAAGCAAAUUGAGUAGUUGUUGGCAAGCUUAUCCCAUCUACUCCAAAUCUUCAGUAUUUGUAAAUCAACCCAUCACUGAAUCUCUAAAUAUAGUUUACAUAGAGCAUAUACCGCUAACACUAAUAUGGCAGCAGUAAAUAAAAUCUUUGAUAGCAUCCAUUUACUGAACAUUUGUCAGUUAACACUGAUUUCUACUCCUAGAAAAUGUGCUCACUAAAUGGAUCAAAUGUGCUCCCACCAAAGAUUUUCUUUGACAGCAACAAAGAACAUCAUGGUCAUGUAGGCAUUCAGGCCUCUUUGUAACAGGAACGUAGACUUUAAUGAGCCCCUGGGUACAAUCCUCUCUCAGCGCCGAUGAUCCCAGAACCGCUUCGCCAUCGCCUUUAUCAGCAGCCAAGGUGUGAGUACUCAUCUUCAGUUACACUUCCCCUGCUCAUAAGGCCAAGCAAACAUUUCAUGGUUGGAACUAAUGGAUGGUAAGCUGACUGAAAUUAGUGGAGUAGGUUGGAGAUUAAUUGGGCUUGAGCAACCAAAUUACUCCAAAUUGCUCAUACCACCAAGUCCUACUCCAAGAGCUUCAUGUGCUAAAAUACUGAAGCUUCAUGCGCUAUAAUUUUAAUUAUAAUUACUGCAAGCACAAGCUACAGAAAACAUAAGGACCAGCAAGUUGCUGCAAGUGGGUACAAUUAUAAACUCACUCACAGUAACAUGUUACUCUAUGACAUCAAGUCCUACAGUACUGCUGCUCCACUUGCUACUCCUACUUGGAAGAAAACAACAAGCCCUACACUAGUCCAUUUUAAGCACUCCUGAACAUUUUGAAAGAGAUUACUCCUACUGAAUUUGCUACACUAAAACAACAGCAUGUCCUGAACAUUUUACUCCAUUUUAAGCACUCCUGCUUGGAACAAAACAGCAGCAAGUCCUCCAAACUGAAUCACUAAAUCACUGAAUAUACUCCCACAAUGUGAGUACUACAGCAGCAACAUCACAUUAUGUGAAUUUCAGUACUACUCCAGCAGCAGCAUCACAUUAAGAAAGUGAACCUACUUGAGCAAAGAUGACUGAACGAGUAUACUACUGAUGGACCAGGUGCGCGCCGGCGCCGCGCUGGGGAUCCCGUUCUUCCCCCGCUUCCCUCGUCCGAUGGCGGAGAUGUUCGCCGUCCGAUGGUGGAGUACAUCACGCAGUUCCAGGUGCUGUGAUCCUUGUUAUUCUGACUUGAUCUCAGUAUUCAUUCUUCUUCUUGCCAAUGCCAUGGGGGGC
rnacentral:lncRNA from 1 species